GAGUUUGAUCAUGGCUCAGAUUGAACGCUGGCGGCAUGCCUUACACAUGCAAGUCGAACGGCAGCAUGAUCUAGCUUGCUAGAUUGAUGGCGAGUGGCGAACGGGUGAGUAAUACAUCGGAACGUGCCCUGUAGUGGGGGAUAACUAGUCGAAAGAUUAGCUAAUACCGCAUACGACCUGAGGGUGAAAGUGGGGGACCGCAAGGCCUCAUGCUAUAGGAGCGGCCGAUGUCUGAUUAGCUAGUUGGUGGGUAAAGGCCCACCAAGGCGACGAUCAGUAGCUGGUCUGAGAGGACGAUCAGCCACACUGGGACUGAGACACGGCCCAGACUCCUACGGGAGGCAGCAGUGGGGGAUUUUGGACAAUGGGCGAAGGCCUGAUCCAGCAAUGCCGCGUGUGUGAAGAAGGCCUCGG
rnacentral:rRNA from 1 species